GCUUGUGGAUGAGCAAAGAAAGUGGUUGCUUGAAAGAGAAUCUACUCCUGGUGAAGGUGCCGUGAA
rnacentral:pre_miRNA from 1 species